AUACGAAGGGGGCUAGCGUUGUUCGGAAUUACUGGGCGUAAAGCGCGCGUAGGCGGAUUGGUCAGUUAGGGGUGAAAUCCCAGGGCUUAACCCUGGAACUGCCUCUAAUACUGCCAGUCUUGAGUUCGGGAGAGGUGAGUGGAAUUCCUAGUGUAGAGGUGAAAUUCGUAGAUAUUAGGAAGAACACCAGUGGCGAAGGCGGCUCACUGGCCCGAUACUGACGCUGAGGCGCGAAAGCGUGGGGAGCAAACAGGAUUAGAUACCCCUGUAGUCC
rnacentral:rRNA from 1 species